UCCACGCCCUAAACGAUGAUUACUCGCUGUUGGCAAUAUAUCGUCAGCGGCUAAGCGAAAGCAUUAAGUAAUCCACCUGGGGAGUACGAUCGCAAGGUUGAAACUCAAAGGAAUUGACGGGGGCCCGCACAAGCGGAGGAACAUGUAGUUUAAUUCGAUGAUACGCGAGGAACCUUACCUGGGCUUAAAUGUAGGACGAUCGUUGCCGAAAGGUGGCUUUCCUUCGGGACGGACUACAAGGUGCUGCAUGGUUGUCGUCAGCUCGUGCCGUGAGGUGUCGGGUUAAGUCCCAUAACGAGCGCAACCCUCAUCGUUAGUUGUCAGCGAGUCAUGUCGGAUAC
rnacentral:rRNA from 1 species